UACGGGGGGGGCAAGCGUUGUUCGGAAUUACUGGGCGUAAAGGGCUCGUAGGUGGCCAACUAAGUCAGACGUGAAAUCCCUCAGCUUAACUGGGGAACUGCGUCUGAUACUGGAUGGCUUGAGUUUGGGAGAGGGAUGCGGAAUUCCAGGUGUAGCGGUGAAAUGCGUAGAUAUCUGGAGGAACACCGGUGGCGAAGGCGGCAUCCUGGGCCGACACUGACACUGAGGAGCGAAAGCCAGGGGAGCAAACGGG
rnacentral:rRNA from 1 species